rnacentral:rRNA from 1 species
UGGGGAAUCUUGCACAAUGGGGGAAACCCUGAUGCAGCGACGCCGCGUGAACGAUGAAGCCCUUCGGGGUGUAAAGUUCUUUCGACAGGAACGAUAAUGACGGUACCUGGAGAAGAAGCUGCGGCUAACUACGUGCCAGCAGCCGCGGUAAUACGUAGGCAGCGAGCGUUGUUCGGAGUUACUGGGCGUAAAGAGUGCGUAGGCGGCGAGCCAAGUUUGGUGUGAAAUCUCCCGGCUUAACCGGGAGGGUGCGCCGAAAACUGGUUGGCUGGAGUAUGGGAGAGGAAAGCGGAAUUCCUGGUGUAGCGGUGAAAUGCGUAGAUAUCAAGAGGAACACCUGAGGCGAAGGCGGGUUGCUGGGCCGACACUGACGCUGAUGCGCGAAAGCCAGGGGAGCAAACG